AAAAAGUGUAACAAGGUCUCCGUUGGUGAACCAGCGGAGGGAUCAUU
rnacentral:rRNA from 1 species